rnacentral:rRNA from 1 species
GGGUGAGUAACGCGUGGGUGACCUACCUUCGAUGGGGGAUAACGUUCCGAAAGGAACGCUAAUACCGCAUGACAUCUUGUCCUUGGACGGACGAUGAUCAAAGCCGGGGAUCGCAAGACCUGGCGCUCGAAGAGGGGCCCGCGUCCGAUUAGCUUGUUGGUGAGGUAAAGGCUCACCAAGGCGGCGAUCGGUAGCCGGCCUGAGAGGGCGGACGGCCACACUGGGACUGAGACACGGCCCAG